rnacentral:rRNA from 1 species
CCUACGGGUGGCAGCAGUGGGGAAUAUUGGGCAAUGGGCGCAAGCCUGACCCAGCAACGCCGCGUGAAGGAAGAAGGCCCUCGGGUUGUAAACUUCUUUUGUCAGGGACGAAACAAAUGACGGUACCUGACGAAUAAGCCACGGCUAACUACGUGCCAGCAGCCGCGGUAAUACGGAGGUGGCAAGCGUUAUCCGGAUUUACUGGGUGUAAAGGGCGUGUAGGCGGGAAAGCAAGUCAGAUGUGAAAGUCCAGGGCGCAACCCUGGAACUGCAUUUGAAACUGUUUUGCUUGAGUGAUGGAGAGGCAGGCGGAAUGCGGUGUGUAGCGGUGAAAUGCGUAGAUAUACGGAGGAACACCAGUGGCGAAGGCGGCCUGCUGGACAUUAACUGACGCUGAGGCGCGAAAGCGUGGGGAGCGAACAGGAUUAGAUACCCUAGUAGUC